rnacentral:rRNA from 1 species
UGGGGAAUAUUGGACAAUGGGCGCAAGCCUGAUCCAGCAAUGCCGCGUGUGUGAAGAAGGCCUGCGGGUUGUAAAGCACUUUCAGUGGGGAGGAACGACUUCAACCUAAUACGUUGAGGAGAUGACGUUACCCACAGAAGAAGCACCGGCUAACUCUGUGCCAGCAGCCGCGGUAAUACAGAGGGUGCAAGCGUUAAUCGGAAUUACUGGGCGUAAAGGGUGCGUAGGUGGUUUGGUAAGUUAGGUGUGAAAGUCCCGGGCUUAACCUGGGGAUUGCGCCUGAUACUGUCAGACUAGAGUACUGUAGAGGAAAGUGGAAUUUCCGGUGUAGCGGUGAAAUGCGUAGAUAUCGGAAGGAACACCAGUGGCGAAGGCGACUUUCUGGACAGAUACUGACACUGAGGCACGAAAGCAUGGGGAGCAAACAGG